UCCAGACUCCUACGGGAGGCAGCAGUGGGGAAUAUUGGGCAAUGGAGGAAACUCUGACCCAGCAACGCCGCGUGAAGGAUGAAGGUUUUCGGAUUGUAAACUUCUGUUGCGAGGGAUGAAGAAUGACGGUACCUCGUGAGGAAGCCCCGGCAAACUACGUGCCAGCAGCCGCGGUAAUACGUAGGGGGCAAGCGUUGUCCGGAAUUACUGGGUGUAAAGGGUGAGUAGGCGGCAUGGUAAGCCAGAUGUGAAAGCCUUGGGCUUAACCCGAGGAUUGCAUUUGGAACUAUCAAGCUAGAGUACAGGAGAGGAAAGCGGAAUUCCUAGUGUAGCGGUGAAAUGCGUAGAUAUUAGGAAGAACACCAGUGGCGAAGGCGGCUUUCUGGACUGAAACUGACGCUGAGGCACGAAAGCGUGGGGAGCGAACAGGAUUAGAUACCCGAGUAC
rnacentral:rRNA from 1 species